rnacentral:lncRNA from 1 species
AAUAACCCCAUAUACCCCAUAAUAACCCCAUAUACCCCAUAAUAACCCCAUAUACCCCAUAAUAACCCCAUAAUAACCCCAUAUAACCCAUAAUAACCCCAUAUACCCCAUAUAACCCCAUAUAACCCAUAAUAACCCCAUAUACCCCAUAAUAACCCCCAUAUACGCCAUAAUAACCCCAUAAAUCCCAUAAUAACCCCGUAUACCCCAUAAUAACCCCAUAUAACCCCAUAUAACCCCAUAUAACCCCAUAUAACCCCAUAUACCCCCAUAUAACCCCAUAUUACCCCAUAUAACCCCAUAUAACCCCAUAUAACCCCAUAUAACCCCAUAUCCCCCCAUAUAACCCCAUAUCCCCCCAUAUAACCCCAUAUAACCCCAUAUAACCCCAUAUCCCCCCAUAUAACCCCAUAUAACCCCAUAUACCCCCAUAUAACCCCAUAUAACCCCAUAUAACCCCAUAUUAACCCCAUAUACCCCAUAAUAACCCCAUAAAUCCCAUAUAACCCCAUAUAUCCCAUAUAACCCCAUAUAACCCCAUAUAACCCCAUAAUAACCCCAUAUACCCCAUAAUAACCCCAUAAAUCCCAUAUUAACCCCAUAUACCCCAUAAUAACCCCAUAUAACCCCAUAGAACCCCAUAGAACCCCAUAUACCCCAUAAUAACCCCAUAUACCCCAUAAUAACCCCAUAUACCCCCAUAUACCCCCAUAUACCCCCAUAUAACCCCAUAUAACCCCAUAUAACCCCAUUACAUCCCAUAUAACCCCAUUACAUCCCAUAUAACCCCAUUACAUCCCAUAUCCCAUAUAACCCCAUUACAUCCCAUAUAACCCCAUUACAUCCCAUAUCCCAUAUAACCCCAUAUAGCCCCAUAUAACCCCAUAUAACCCCAUAUAACCCCAUAUAACCCCAUAUACCCCCAUAUAACCCCAUAUAACCCCAUAUACCCCCAUAUAACCCCAUAUAACCCCAUAUAACCCCAUAUACCCCAUAAUAACCCCAUAAUAACCCCAUAUACCCCAUAAUAACCCCAUAUACC